rnacentral:tmRNA from 5 species
GGGGUCAUUUAGAUUCGACUGGAAGAAUGAUGACUAUAGUUCAAGUAGAGGAUGUUUGUUACCUCUUAAAUAAUCAAACACAGUUGAUAAUUGCCAACUUAUAUAAUAAGGUUAAAACCGCUUUUAGUGGUCUAAAACCAGCAUUAGCUUUUGCUUAAAUUUUAAGCAAGCGGGUUAUUGAAAGUGUUAAUCGUCCAAUUUCAAAUAACCCUCAUAUUGACGAUUUAUAGCUAAUAAGGUAGCUUUAGUAAUUAGCUGAAAAAACGAAAGUAUCACAUAAACUUGUCAACCUAUUUUCAAAAGCUUUCAGGACGGGGGUUCAAAUCCCCCUGACUCCACCA